GGUCAGCUAGCUCAGCUGGUCAGAGUGUGGUGCUAAUAACACCAAGGUCAUGGGCUCGAGCCCCACGCUGGCCA
rnacentral:tRNA from 1 species